rnacentral:rRNA from 1 species
UACAGAGGGUGCAAGCGUUGUUCGGAAUUAUUGGGCGUAAAGGGUGCGUAGGCGGUGCGGUAAGUCUGCUGUGAAAUCUCCGGGCUCAACUCGGAGUCUGCAACGGAAACUGCCGUGCUUGAGUAUGGGAGAGGUGAGUGGAAUUCCCGGUGUAGCGGUGAAAUGCGUAGAUAUUGGGAGGAACACCAGUGGCGAAGGCGGCGAUCUGGGAAGAUACUGACGCUGAGGUGCGAAAGCGUGGGGAGCAAACAGG